UUUCCGUAGGUGAACCUGCGGAAGGAUCAUUCAUAAUAAAGUGUUUUAUGGCACUUUUUAAAAAUCCAGAUCCACCUUGUGUGCAAUGUUAGAUCUCGUCAAUCUUGGCGAGAUUUUUAUACAUCAACUCAUUCUUUAACUAAUUUGUCUGAAAAAUAUUAUGAAUACUUAAUUCAAAAUACAACUUUCAACAACGGAUCUCUUGGCUCUC
rnacentral:misc_RNA from 1 species